AGUAAAUAGAUACCCUGGUAGUCCACGCCGUAAACGAUGUCGACUUGGAGGUUGUGCCCUUGAGGCGUGGCUUCCGGAGCUAAACGCGUUAAGUCGACCGCCUGGGGAGUACGGCCGCAAGGUUAAAACUCAAAUGAAUUGACGGGGCCCGCACAAGCGGUGGAGCAUGUGGUUUAAUUCGAUGCAACGCGAAGAACCUUACCUACUCUUGACAUCCAGAGAACUUAGCAGAGAUGCUUUGGUGCCUUCGGGAACUCUGAGACAGGUGCUGCAUGGCUGUCGUCAGCUCGUGUUGUGAAAUGUUGGGUUAAGUCCCGCAACGAGCGCAACCCUUAUCCUUUGUUGCCAGCGGUUAGGCCGGGAACUCAAAGGAGACUGCCAGUGAUAAACUGGAGGAAGGUGGGGAUGACGUCAAGUCAUCAUGGCCCUUACGAGUAGGGCUACACACGUGCUACAAUGGCGCAUACAAAGAGAAGCGACCUCGCGAGAGCAAGCGGACCUCAUAAAGUGCGUCGUAGUCCGGAUUGGAGU
rnacentral:rRNA from 1 species